GACGGAGGAUGCAAGCGUUAUCCGGAAUUAUUGGGCGUAAAGCGUCCGCAGGUGGCUGUUCAAGUCUGCUGUCAAAGCGCAGAGCUUAACUCUGUACAGGCGGUGGAAACUGAAGAGCUAGAGUAUGGUAGGGGUAGAGGGAAUUCCCGGUGUAGCGGUGAAAUGCGUAGAUAUCGGGAAGAACACCAGUGGCGAAAGCGCUCAACUGGGCCAUAACUGACACUGAGGGACGAAAGCUAGGGGAGCGAACCGG
rnacentral:rRNA from 1 species